rnacentral:lncRNA from 1 species
AGCAUUAGGAUUUCUAUUUUCAUCAAGCACUGCACUUGUCUAGUCUGGUUGUACAAGAACAUCAUGGAUGAUUAACCCUCAUCCAUUUGUCAUCCUAUUGCGUCCACACAUAAAGGGAUUUUCAUUAACAUAUAACUCAUAUUGAAUUGUUUGUUCAAUAUGAUCUACAAUAGAACAAGAGUCUUUUGUGUUGACUCGAACUCGACUAAGAACUUCAUCAACUUCUCCUUAAGUUGGUUGUUUAUUCCCGAUCAAGGAUAAAAGUUUUUCUUCAAACUUCUACUCUAGAUAUGUCUUCAUUUCAUUCAUUUUUUGUUCAAAAUUUUCUUACAUUUGCAUCCCCAUCUUCUGAAAGGCAUCCUUACUCAAUUUGUCCAUUAUGAUGGAUCAGAGUAAUCACGAAGUCCCCGCA